rnacentral:rRNA from 1 species
AGAGUUUGAUCCUGGCUCAGGACGAACGCUGGCGGCGCGCCUAACACAUGCAAGUCGAACGAGCGAGAGAGAGCUUGCUUUCUCGAGCGAGUGGCGAACGGGUGAGUAACGCGUGAGGAACCUGCCUCAAAGAGGGGGACAACAGUUGGAAACGACUGCUAGUACCGCAUAAGCCCACGGGUCGGCAUCGACCAGAGGGAAAAGGAGCAAUCCGCUUUGAGAUGGCCUCGCGUCCGAUUAGCUGGUUGGUGAGGUAACGGCCCACCAAGGCGACGAUCGGUAGCCGGACUGAGAGGUUGAACGGCCACAUUGGGACUGAGACACGGCCCAGACUCCUACGGGAGGCAGCAGUGGGGAAUAUUGCACAAUGGGGGAAACCCUGAUGCAGCGACGCCGCGUGGAGGAAGAAGGUCUUCGGAUUGUAAACUCCUGUUGUUGGGGAAGAUAAUGACGGUACCCAACAAGGAAGUGACGGCUAACUACGUGCCAGCAGCCGCGGUAAAACGUAGGUCACAAGCGUUGUCCGGAAUUACUGGGUGUAAAGGGAGCGCAGGCGGGAAGACAAGUUGGAAGUGAAAUCCAUGGGCUCAACCCAUGAACUGCUUUCAAAACUGUUUUUCUUGAGUAGUGCAGAGGUAGGCGGAAUUCCCGGUGUAGCGGUGGAAUGCGUAGAUAUCGGGAGGAACACCAGUGGCGAAGGCGGCCUACUGGGCACCAACUGACGCUGAGGCUCGAAAGUGUGGGUAGCAAACAGGAUUAGAUACCCUGGUAGUCCACACCGUAAACGAUGAUUACUAGGUGUUGGAGGAUUGACCCCUUCAGUGCCGCAGUUAACACAAUAAGUAAUCCACCUGGGGAGUACGACCGCAAGGUUGAAACUCAAAGGAAUUGACGGGGGCCCGCACAAGCAGUGGAGUAUGUGGUUUAAUUCGACGCAACGCGAAGAACCUUACCAAGUCUUGACAUCCGUUGACCGACAUAGAAAUAUGUUUUUCCUUCGGGACAGCGAGACAGGUGGUGCAUGGUUGUCGUCAGCUCGUGUCGUGAGAUGUUGGGUUAAGUCCCGCAACGAGCGCAACCCUUAUGGUCAGUUACUACGCAAGAGGACUCUGGCCAGACUGCCGUUGACAAAACGGAGGAAGGUGGGGAUGACGUCAAAUCAUCAUGCCCUUUAUGACUUGGGCUACACACGUACUACAAUGGCGUUAAACAAAGAGAAGCAAGACCGC